GCCGUCGAUUUGCAAACGGAGCCCGAUCGCCACCAAACCGGUGCCAUUUCGAAGCUUGAGCUGAGGAGAGUCGGGAUACGUCCUCCGAUCGUCCAUCCUCCGCCGGAGCUCGCCGGAAAAACCAGAAAACACGGCUGCCACCACUUCGCCAGAACUCUCUCCUCCGGCCACCAAAACCGACGCCGCUGCCGCCAAAAGGAAGCUCUCUCCAAGGGGAGCUGAUCGCCACCGAGAUCGGCCGGAAAGGCCGCCGGAAACGGCCGGAACGGCCUUCGAAAGCCGCUGCCACACGUCGCGCGAUUCCGCCGCCUCACGCUGCCGCUGGAGCCGCUGCGCUCGCCAGCGCACGCCGCUCCGUCGGCCAGCGCUCCGCGCCCCCGGAGCUCGCCACCGACGCCUGCAGCGUCCCUCU
rnacentral:lncRNA from 1 species